rnacentral:snRNA from 1 species
AUACUUUUCUCGACCUUUUGACUAAAAUAAAGUGUAAUAUUUUGUUCUUAUCAGUUUAAUAUCUGAUAUGUGAACCACAUGUUCAUUUUGAUAUUAAAUUUAUUAUAUAUAUAUAUAAUAUGAUUAUGUGCCACCUGUCGGCGUUUCGAGACCGGGGGGGGUCCCUGGGCCGACGAGUGAAUGUCG